rnacentral:rRNA from 1 species
GAUGAACGCUAGCGGCAGGCCUAACACAUGCAAGUCAGGGGUAACAUAGAAAAGCUUGCUUUUCUGAUGACGACCGGCGCACGGGUGCGUAACGCGUAUACAACCUACCUUUUAGCGGGGAAUAGCCCAGGGAAACUUGGAUUAAUGCCCCAUAGUAUAUAGACUUCUCCUGAAGUUUAUAUUAAACAUUUAUGGCUAUUAGAUGGGUAUGCGUCCUAUUAGUUAGUUGGUAAGGUAACGACUUACCAAGGCAGCGAUAGGUAGGGGUCCUGAGAGGGAGAUCCCCACACUGGUACUGAGACACGGACCAGACUCCUACGGGAGGCAGCAGUGAGGAAUAUUGGACAAUGGGCGAGAGCCUGAUCCAGCCAUGCCGCGUGCAGGAAGACUGCCCUAUGGGUUGUAAACUGCUUUUACAGAGGAAGAACCACCCUCACGUGUGGGGGUUUGACGGUACUCUGCGAAUAAGGAUCGGCUAACUCCGUG